AGCUGUACGUAGAACCUUGUGUUGGUGACUAAGGUUCGGAGCCUCCCCCCAACUAUAAAAUGGAAUGCUCGUGUCACUCGGGGCGCAGUAAGCAUUGAGAGAGAGAACGCAUGGAGAGCUCCCAUCCCAGCAGGGUGCCUGGUGCACAGUGGGUGCUCACUGAACAGCAGGGGUGUGGCAGAACCAGGGGAUAUUCAUCUGACCUUCAAACUAUCAAAUAUACUAUCUUCCUGGCCACGUGUGUCAGGAACCUUUUAGAUACAUGCACUUUCGACUCUGCAAUCCUACUCCUCGGAAUCUAAUCCUAAGAAAAUAACAAGAGAAUGCAGAUAAACUCAUGUAUGAAAACAAUCAUCACAGUGUCACAUGUGAUUAUCAGUAAAUGAUUAAGUUACGGUA